CAUUUCUAUCAGUAACUUUACAUCUAAGUCUUAAGAAUGGGUCGGACUAUUUUCGCAGUAUUUACACUUGUUCUUGUUUCUGCUAUCUUCGUUCAAGAUACUGUCAGUCUUGCAGAUCCAUGUGGAGCAUUCUGCGACUCCGCUACAGGAAACGGAAUUAUUGGUAAAGGAGGAAAGGUAAAGGACAGAGCGGAAUGUAUCAGGAAAUGUAACGACGGAAAUUUUUAUGACAACUGCAUCAAGCAAGGAGACAGA